UACGUAGGUGGCAAGCGUUGUCCGGAUUUACUGGGCGUAAAGGGCGUGCAGGCGGUCUGUUAAGUGCAGGGUGAAAGCUCCCGGCUCAACUGGGAGAGGUCCUUGCAUACUGGCGGACUUGAGGGGGGUAGAGGAAAGUGGAAUUCCCGGUGUAGUGGUGAUAUGCGUAGAUAUCGGGAGGAACACCUGUGGCGAAGGCGGCUUUCUGGGCCCUACCUGACGCUGAGGCACGAAGGUCAGGGGAGCAAACGGG
rnacentral:rRNA from 1 species